ACACCCGUGCACUGAAGAAACACCGGUGAAGGCGUGAUCCAUCCCAGCGGCACAGGCAAAUAUGAAGUUCUUCUGGCUAAUCCCAUUUUUCCUGCUGCAAGACGCUGCAGCUUUUCUGAUGAAAAAUGCUAAAUUCAAGCUGUGUUUACGAGCCAGCGUGGUAGGUGAGAGUUUGCUGCUGGAGGACUGUGAUCCAGAGUCAGUUUUCCAGGACUGGUCUUGGCAAGGAGAUUCUCUGCUGAAUCGUGGCACUCAGAGCUGCCUCUCCCUGGUGGGGUCCAACGGGGUGCAGAUGGGUCUCUGCGACAGAACGAGCUACAUGAGCUGGGACUGCUCGAAUUCGCUGCUCUCUCCUCUGGGUGGCAGCCAGAGCUACCUGGUGGCCAACAAGAAAGGAGUCACCCUCAGUAACGUGAGGAACCUCAAGGCCCAAUGGCAAGAUGCGGCAGACAGGAGCGUCUGCGAGGUGAAAGCAGCUGAGGCAGAGCCAGACAGGUACUUCACCGCAGCGCUUGUCAGCACACACACCUAUGACCCCAUAGCAGGGAACAUCACCCUUGCGCUGGGUAUGGAUGGAGCAGAGCUGGAGGAGCUGCUCUGGUUCUUCCGCAGAGAAGACCCCUCGACGUGGAAUUACUCCGUCCUUGCGCUUUCCUUCGUGGCCAUGAUUUUGGGUCUCGUCCUCCUGGCCCUUAACAUUGUGCGAAACAGGAAAAGGAAGAUCCACGCCUACGGAGGAGCAGAGCAAAUGGUCCAGCAGGAUGAGCUGGAAGCCAAGCAAGCCCUGAUGCCCGUGCAGGAGUACAGCCCAGCCCAACUGCAAAAGCAGGAGCCGGUGCCCCAGGAUCAUAGAUCAGGAGACGUGAUGGUCCAGUGGAAGGACGGGACCGUCACCUCCCUGUACACAGCGAGGUCUGAGGACGCCGUGUAACGGCAGCUGACGUCAAACCAUUUAGGCCUUAAGGAAUGUGUCAGAACGUCUCAAUUCGGAGUGAUGGAAGUUUAAAAAUGCAGUUUAGCCUGGGGAAAAAAAGAGAGAGAAUAAAAAGAAAGCAGCAGAGCUGCA
rnacentral:lncRNA from 1 species